AUGUGGGCUUUUCUAGGUCCUCCAGUGCAAUUUUUUGGUACGAUUCCAGAUCUAGUCAAAAGAUGGGGUUUACUAUUGGCCAUGGUUUCAGGUAUCCAUGAGCAGUCUAGGAACCUAUUCCCUGUGGAUACAGGGAUUGUACUGUAUACUAUUUAUAGGUCAAACCAAAUAGCAACUCACAGGCACCAAAUGGAACAGAUUUUUAUUGCCUCUCUCUGGAAACUUUUAACAGUGAAUUCAGGAGUGGAUGGUUGGAACCUAUGCCAAUGAAGCUGGGUAUUUUCUCUAAACAUCCUGACCUCAAAGGAUGGAUGAGGGCAAGGGCUCUGAUUGUUAAUUGCUGGUGAAAAAUACCUGAGUAGGCUAGGAGCCACCUGGGACCCUUUGUCCCCAAAUUUUGAAGGCCCUUCCAAAUCAAGAGCAAUUCUUUAGUGCUUCUUACAAAUCUGCAAAUGAAAUAUGAAGUGGCAUUGUGAUCUCAAGGCUUCUCUGUGUGCCUGAAGUCUUAUAUAAGAUAAGACCCUAAUUUCCUUUCCUCCAAGUGAUCUAUCAUACAUAGAGGGAAUGAACAAGUGGUUGCCAGGAAGCAGUUUUUCAAUAAGGGGUGCAGUGAACAUAUUGGGAUCUGGUAUAAUACAGUCUACCAGAAUUGUACUUCCAGUGCACAGAGCAGCUCUUAAGACUCCAAUGUUUUUUAUCUGGUUGAAAUCACGGCACAGAAGAAAGAAGUGAAGCCAUGUAACAGUCCUUUGUGAUUGGACUAUACCUCCCAUCAGCCCCAAGGAGUUAAAGAUAAGAGAUAAUGGGAAAUGGAAUUUAACAGAAUCUGGAAUACCACCAAUUCAGUAUUCCUAAUCAACAUAUAUCCCUUUAAAUAUUGUUAUUUUUGGAAUCUCUUGGUUGACCCUUACCCAAGCGUGACAAAUUUCCCAGCAACAAAGGCACUUCUGUGUAGAGAUUAAAAUGUAGAACUCACUACCCAGCAUGUUUGCACAACAGCAAACUUCACACAUUAUGUUCCCCAUUAAUCCUUCUGUGAAAAUGUCUUUGGAAUUCUGUAAUGUCUGGAGCACGCUUGGCAUUGCCAGCAGACCUGGCACAGAAGCGUAUGCCUAACCACAGGUUAAAUAAUUGAUAGAAUCUAUGUGAUACUCGAAAGAAUGAUACAGUGAAACCAAGAGGGACAAGGUCAAGUCCUACUCUUCCUAGACACCUUGAAACAUAUGGGGAAGAAGACAAGAAACAUUAAAUAAGCCUAAUCAAGUGCAAGGGGAAGAAAGUAACAAAGACAACACAAAAACAAAUAAGAGAUUGGGUAAACAAAAGAUCCUAGAAGUGAAUCUGAACUCUAACCAUGAUGUGUACAGCCUGUACCAAGAUACAUAAUAUAUACUACAUACAUACAUACAUACAUUCACACACACACAUAUACAUACAUGCAUGCACACACACAGACAUAUAUUCAUACAGUACUGCAAAGAUAUCUGAAAGCAUAUUGGACUUUGACACUCUCAUUGCUUGCUUCACCGGCACAUAAUGCCACCUUUGUUACUAAUUGACGCACCGACAGGCACAGGAGCAUGUAAUGUUUAAUCUAGUAGUCAUUCUUUUAUUUCAGUAUUAAAAUUACCCUGUUGUUCUUUGAAAACCAAAGAGACUUCCAAUAAACUGAAAGCACACCCAGCAUUCCAACAGUAUUCUAAGCAGCUGCAAAUCAUGAUAUUAUGAAAAAGAAACAGGGAGCAACCAUAAAACACUACCAGUAAUCUGGUAUUUUCUAUACAUUAAAACCUUUUAAAAAUGCAUAUAUCUGCUUUGUCAACAGUCAUAUUAUCGACCAGGUUUGUGACGUCUUUCAAGGAACAAUGCUGGCAGGAAUAGGGAACCUAUCAGAUUUUUCCCAUUGCAAGAUCCUUCUGUUUUGCUGUCUAUAGAUGUUCAGUGUGUGUCUCUUUAAUUUCCUUUGUCCCCAUGGCUCUUGAUAGUGUUUCAAAGGAAUUCACUCACUAAUUCUGGUCUUCUUAUCCACAGUCAUAAUCCCAUGGAGGGGAACUUUGAGUCCUUUGGAUUAAC
rnacentral:lncRNA from 1 species